GUGUCAGCCGCCGCGGUAAUACGGAGGGUGCGAGCGUUGUUCGAAAUUACUGGGCUUAAAGCGCGUGUAGGCGGGAAGGCAAGUGUCGGGUGAAAUCCCUCGGCUCAACCGAGGAACCGCCCGGCAAACUGCCUUUCUUGAGGCAGGGAGAGGUGACUGGAACGACGGGUGGAGCGGUGAAAUGCGUAGAUAUCCGUUGGAACGCCGGAGGCGAAAGCGGGUCGCUGGCCCUGUCCUGACGCUGAGACGCGAAAGCGUGGGGAGCGAACAGGAUUAGAUACCCGCGUAGUCC
rnacentral:rRNA from 1 species